rnacentral:rRNA from 1 species
GACGAACGCUGGCGGCGUGCUUAACACAUGCAAGUCGAACGAUGAAGCCCAGCUUGCUGGGUGGAUUAGUGGCGAACGGGUGAGUAACACGUGAGUAACCUGCCCCUGACUCUGGGAUAAGCGUUGGAAACGACGUCUAAUACUGGAUAUGACUACUGGUCGCAUGGUCUGGUGGUGGAAAGAUUUUUUGGUUGGGGAUGGACUCGCGGCCUAUCAGCUUGUUGGUGAGGUAAUGGCUCACCAAGGCGACGACGGGUAGCCGGCCUGAGAGGGUGACCGGCCACACUGGGACUGAGACACGGCCCAGACUCCUACGGGAGGCAGCAGUGGGGAAUAUUGCACAAUGGGCGAAAGCCUGAUGCAGCAACGCCGCGUGAGGGAUGACGGCCUUCGGGUUGUAAACCUCUUUUAGUAGGGAAGAAGCGAAAGUGACGGUACCUGCAGAAAAAGCACCGGCUAACUACGUGCCAGCAGCCGCGGUAAUACGUAGGGUGCAAGCGUUGUCCGGGAAUUAUUGGGCGUAAAGAGCUCGUAGGCGGUUUGUCGCGUCUGCUGUGAAAUCCCGAGGCUCAACCUCGGGCUUGCAGUGGGUACGGGCAGACUAGAGUGCGGUAGGGGAGAUUGGAAUUCCUGGUGUAGCGGUGGAAUGCGCAGAUAUCAGGAGGAACACCGAUGGCGAAGGCAGAUCUCUGGGCCGUAACUGACGCUGAGGAGCGAAAGCGUGGGGAGCGAACAGGAUUAGAUACCCUGGUAGUCCACGCCGUAAACGUUGGGCGCUAGAUGUAGGGACCUUUCCACGGUUUCUGUGUCGUAGCUAACGCAUUAAGCGCCCCGCCUGGGGAGUACGGCCGCAAGGCUAAAACUCAAAGGAAUUGACGGGGGCCCGCACAAGCGGCGGAGCAUGCGGAUUAAUUCGAUGCAACGCGAAGAACCUUACCAAGGCUUGACAUACACCGGAAACGGCCAGAGAUGGUCGCCCCCUUGUGGUCGGUGUACAGGUGGUGCAUGGUUGUCGUCAGCUCGUGUCGUGAGAUGUUGGGUUAAGUCCCGCAACGAGCGCAACCCUCGUUCUAUGUUGCCAGCGCGUUAUGGCGGGGACUCAUAGGAGACUGCCGGGGUCAACUCGGAGGAAGGUGGGGAUGACGUCAAAUCAUCAUGCCCCUUAUGUCUUGGGCUUCACGCAUGCUACAAUGGCCGGUACAAAGGGCUGCGAUACCGUAAGGUGGAGCGAAUCCCAAAAAGCCGGUCUCAGUUCGGAUUGAGGUCUGCAACUCGACCUCAUGAAGUCGGAGUCGCUAGUAAUCGCAGAUCAGCAACGCUGCGGUGAAUACGUUCCCGGGCCUUGUACACACCGCCCGUCAAGUCAUGAAAGUCGGUAACACCCGAAGCCGGUGGCCUAACCCUUGUGGAAGGAGCCGUCGAAGGUGGGAUCGGUGAUUAGGACU